rnacentral:rRNA from 1 species
UACGGAGGGUGCGAGCGUUGUCCGGAAUCACUGGGCGUAAAGGGCGCGUAGGCGGCCUGAUAAGUAGGGGGUGAAAUCCUGCGGCUUAACCGCAGGGCUGCCUUCUAAACUGUCAGGCUCGAGCACAGUAGAGGCAGGUGGAAUUCCCGGUGUAGUGGUGAAAUGCGUAGAGAUCGGCAGGAACACCCAGGGGGAAACCAGUCGACUGGGCAUCUACUGACGCUGAGGUGCGAGAGCGUGGGGAGCGAACCGG